UUCAACAGAAAGAACUGAUUAUGGAUUAUUUAGUUAUUAUUAUAGAUCAUUAUACUUAUUAAUGAAACAGCAGAAAAUUAUAUAGAAAAUUUAACAAAAUACACGUAUUAAGCAGCAUUUUGUUAUUUAUAGGUAUAUCAUCAUAUGUGUAUAUAAAGUAUCAGCACACAGGAAUAAAUUGAGCCCUAAUCUGUUUAGUGAUUGUCUUCAAAGGCUCCAUCCAAAAGUUCCAAGACAUAACCCAUGAAGGAAAAGUAUAAUGUGGAGCCCAUGCUGGUUGGUGACGAGAUUCAAGAGGUCCUGAAGCCAUGAAGACUUGCCAAGACAGCCAGACCCAGUAAUACCUUGGUAUCAUGUUAAACACAAGAAAAGAUGAAUAAAAUAUUAAAAAUGAUAUAAAGUAACUGUAAGUUUCAUUUUCCAGCCACAGUGAGAGUGAGAAAGUCAUCCAACAGUCAUCUCUAUAUUUGCUGUGUUUGGGCUAUGCUUGAAACUUUUCCCUGGAAUAAGUUCCAGCCUAGCCCGGAAACCGUAAGAAUAUUCCAGGGUUUCCGAGCAACCAUGGAAAAUUUUCCAUGAUGAAAGUUUCAGGGU